rnacentral:rRNA from 1 species
AGGACGAACGCUGGCGGCGUGCCUAACACAUGCAAGUCGAACGAGGUCCAACCGGUGGCAACACUGGUGAAGACCGAGUGGCGAACGGGUGAGUAACACGUGAGCAACCUGCCUCGAAGACUGGGAUAACCCCGGGAAACCGGAGCUAAUACCGGAUACCCCCACCGGGUCGCAUGGCCUGGUGAGGAAAUGGAUUCCGCUUUGAGAGGGGCUCGCGGCCUAUCAGCUUGAUGGUGGGGUAAUGGCCUACCAUGGCACCGACGGGUAGCUGGUCUGAGAGGACGAUCAGCCACACUGGGACUGAGACACGGCCCAGACUCCUACGGGAGGCAGCAGUGGGGAAUCUUGCGCAAUGGGCGAAAGCCUGACGCAGCAACGCCGCGUGUGGGACGAAGGCCUUCUGGGUUGUAAACCACUUUCAGCAGGGACGAUUGUGACGGUACCUGCAGAACGAAGCCCCGGCCAACUACGCGCCAGCAGCCGCGGU